rnacentral:rRNA from 1 species
CACCUCUAGCAUUACUAGUAUUAGAGGCACUGCCUGCCCAGUGACACACGUUUAACGGCCGCGGUACCCUGACCGUGCAAAGGUAGCAUAGUCACUUGUUCUUUAAAUGGGGACUCGCAUGAAAGGCACCACGAGGGUUUAACUGUCUCUUACUUUUAACCAGUGAAAUUGACCUGCCCGCGAAGAGGCGGGCAUAAAAUAAUAAGACGAGAAGACCCUAUGGAGCUUUAAUCUAUUAAUGCAAUCAAAAACUACACAAACCCACGGACCUUUAAACUACCGACACCUGCAUUAAAAAUUUUGGUUGGGGCGACCUCGGAGCGCAACAAAACCUCCGAAUAACACAUGCUAAGACCACACAAGUCAAAGCGAACUAAUACUUACAAUUGAUCCAAUAAUUUGAUCAACGGAACAAGUUACCCUAGGGAUAACAGCGCAAUUCUAUUCUAGAGUCCAUAUCGACAAUAGAGCUUACGACCUCGAUGUUGGAUCAGGACAUCCUAAUGGUGCAGCAGCUAUCAAGGGUUCGUUUGUUCAACGAUUAAAGUCCU